GGGUUGUGAGGUUAAGCGACUAAGCGUACACGGUGGAUGCCCUGGCAGUCAGAGGCGAUGAAGGACGUGCUAAUCUGCGAUAAGCGUCGGUAAGGUGAUAUGAACCGUUAUAACCGGCGAUUUCCGAAUGGGGAAACCCAGUGUGAUUCGUCACACUAUCAUUAACUGAAUCCAUAGGUUAAUGAGGCGAACCGGGGGAACUGAAACAUCUAAGUACCCCGAGGAAAAGAAAUCAACCGAGAUUCCCCCAGUAGCGGCGAGCGAACGGGGAGCAGCCCAGAGCCUGAAUCAGUGUGUGUGUUAGUGGAAGCGUCUGGAAAGGCGCGCGAUACAGGGUGACAGCCCCGUACACAAAAAUGCACAUGCUGUGAGCUCGAUGAGUAGGGCGGGACACGUGGUAUCCUGUCUGAAUAUGGGGGGACCAUCCUCCAAGGCUAAAUACUCCUGACUGACCGAUAGUGAACCAGUACCGUGAGGGAAAGGCGAAAAGAACCCCGGCGAGGGGAGUGAAAAAGAACCUGAAACCGUGUACGUACAAGCAGUGGGAGCACAGAGCAAUCUGUGUGACUGCGUACCUUUUGUAUAAUGGGUCAGCGACUUAUAUUCUGUAGCAAGGUUAACCGAAUAGGGGAGCCGAAGGGAAACCGAGUCUUAACUGGGCGUUAAGUUGCAGGGUAUAGACCCGAAACCCGGUGAUCUAGCCAUGGGCAGGUUGAAGGUUGGGUAACACUAACUGGAGGACCGAACCGACUAAUGUUGAAAAAUUAGCGGAUGACUUGUGGCUGGGGGUGAAAGGCCAAUCAAACCGGGAGAUAGCUGGUUCUCCCCGAAAGCUAUUUAGGUAGCGCCUCGUGAAUUCAUCUCCGGGGGUAGAGCACUGUUUCGGCAAGGGGGUCAUCCCGACUUACCAACCCGAUGCAAACUGCGAAUACCGGAGAAUGUUAUCACGGGAGACACACGGCGGGUGCUAACGUCCGUCGUGAAGAGGGAAACAACCCAGACCGCCAGCUAAGGUCCCAAAGUCAUGGUUAAGUGGGAAACGAUGUGGGAAGGCCCAGACAGCCAGGAUGUUGGCUUAGAAGCAGCCAUCAUUUAAAGAAAGCGUAAUAGCUCACUGGUCGAGUCGGCCUGCGCGGAAGAUGUAACGGGGCUAAACCAUGCACCGAAGCUGCGGCAGCGACGCUUAUGCGUUGUUGGGUAGGGGAGCGUUCUGUAAGCCUGCGAAGGUGUGCUGUGAGGCAUGCUGGAGGUAUCAGAAGUGCGAAUGCUGACAUAAGUAACGAUAAAGCGGGUGAAAAGCCCGCUCGCCGGAAGACCAAGGGUUCCUGUCCAACGUUAAUCGGGGCAGGGUGAGUCGACCCCUAAGGCGAGGCCGAAAGGCGUAGUCGAUGGGAAACAGGUUAAUAUUCCUGUACUUGGUGUUACUGCGAAGGGGGGACGGAGAAGGCUAUGUUGGCCGGGCGACGGUUGUCCCGGUUUAAGCGUGUAGGCUGGUUUUCCAGGCAAAUCCGGAAAAUCAAGGCUGAGGCGUGAUGACGAGGCACUACGGUGCUGAAGCAACAAAUGCCCUGCUUCCAGGAAAAGCCUCUAAGCAUCAGGUAACAUCAAAUCGUACCCCAAACCGACACAGGUGGUCAGGUAGAGAAUACCAAGGCGCUUGAGAGAACUCGGGUGAAGGAACUAGGCAAAAUGGUGCCGUAACUUCGGGAGAAGGCACGCUGAUAUGUAGGUGAAGUCCCUCGCGGAUGGAGCUGAAAUCAGUCGAAGAUACCAGCUGGCUGCAACUGUUUAUUAAAAACACAGCACUGUGCAAACACGAAAGUGGACGUAUACGGUGUGACGCCUGCCCGGUGCCGGAAGGUUAAUUGAUGGGGUUAGCGCAAGCGAAGCUCUUGAUCGAAGCCCCGGUAAACGGCGGCCGUAACUAUAACGGUCCUAAGGUAGCGAAAUUCCUUGUCGGGUAAGUUCCGACCUGCACGAAUGGCGUAAUGAUGGCCAGGCUGUCUCCACCCGAGACUCAGUGAAAUUGAACUCGCUGUGAAGAUGCAGUGUACCCGCGGCAAGACGGAAAGACCCCGUGAACCUUUACUAUAGCUUGACACUGAACAUUGAGCCUUGAUGUGUAGGAUAGGUGGGAGGCUUUGAAGUGUGGACGCCAGUCUGCAUGGAGCCGACCUUGAAAUACCACCCUUUAAUGUUUGAUGUUCUAACGUGGACCCGUAAUCCGGGUUGCGGACAGUGUCUGGUGGGUAGUUUGACUGGGGCGGUCUCCUCCUAAAGAGUAACGGAGGAGCACGAAGGUUGGCUAAUCCUGGUCGGACAUCAGGAGGUUAGUGCAAUGGCAUAAGCCAGCUUGACUGCGAGCGUGACGGCGCGAGCAGGUGCGAAAGCAGGUCAUAGUGAUCCGGUGGUUCUGAAUGGAAGGGCCAUCGCUCAACGGAUAAAAGGUACUCCGGGGAUAACAGGCUGAUACCGCCCAAGAGUUCAUAUCGACGGCGGUGUUUGGCACCUCGAUGUCGGCUCAUCACAUCCUGGGGCUGAAGUAGGUCCCAAGGGUAUGGCUGUUCGCCAUUUAAAGUGGUACGCGAGCUGGGUUUAGAACGUCGUGAGACAGUUCGGUCCCUAUCUGCCGUGGGCGCUGGAGAAUUGAGGGGGGCUGCUCCUAGUACGAGAGGACCGGAGUGGACGCAUCACUGGUGUUCGGGUUGUCAUGCCAAUGGCACUGCCCGGUAGCUAAAUGCGGAAGAGAUAAGUGCUGAAAGCAUCUAAGCACGAAACUUGCCCCGAGAUGAGUUCUCCCUGACUCCUUGAGAGUCCUGAAGGAACGUUGAAGACGACGACGUUGAUAGGCCGGGUGUGUAAGCGCAGCGAUGCGUUGAGCUAACCGGUACUAAUGAACCGUGAGGCUUAACCUUACAACGCCGAAGGUGUUU
rnacentral:rRNA from 1 species